rnacentral:rRNA from 1 species
CUACGGGCGGCUGCAGUGAGGAAUAUUGCACAAUGGGGGAAACCCUGAUGCAGCAACGCCGCGUGGAGGAUGACGCAUUUCGGUGUGUAAACUCCUUUUAUGAGUCAAGAAAAUGACGGUAGCUCAUGAAUAAGCACCGGCUAACUCCGUGCCAGCAGCCGCGGUAAUACGGAGGGUGCAAGCGUUACUCGGAAUCACUGGGCGUAAAGGACGCGUAGGCGGGCUUGUAAGUCAGGUGUGAAAUCCUACAGCUUAACUGUAGAACUGCACUUGAAACUACGAGCCUAGAGUAUGGGAGGGGCAGAUGGAAUUAGUGGUGUAGGGGUAAAAUCCGUAGAUAUCACUAGGAAUACCGAAAGCGAAGGCGAUCUGCUGGAACAUUACUGACGCUAAGGCGUGAAAGCGUGGGGAGCAAACGGGAUUAGAUACCCUCGUAGUC